ACACUCCUCCGGGAGGCAGCAGUGGGGAAUAUUGGACAAUGGGCGCAAGCCUGAUCCAGCCAUGCCGCGUGAGUGAUGAAGGCCCUAGGGUUGUAAAGCUCUUUCACCGGUGAAGAUAAUGACGGUAACCGGAGAAGAAGCCCCGGCUAACUUCGUGCCAGCAGCCGCGGUAAUACGAAGGGGGCUAGCGUUGUUCGGAUUUACUGGGCGUAAAGCGCACGUAGGCGGACUAUUAAGUCAGGGGUGAAAUCCCGGGGCUCAACCCCGGAACUGCCUUUGAUACUGGUAGUCUUGAGUUCGAGAGAGGUGAGUGGAAUUCCGAGUGUAGAGGUGAAAUUCGUAGAUAUUCGGAGGAACACCAGUGGCGAAGGCGGCUCACUGGCUCGAUACUGACGCUGAGGUGCGAAAGCGUGGGGAGCAAACAGGAUUAGAAACCCCGGUAGUCCCAUGA
rnacentral:rRNA from 1 species